UACGUAGGGUGCGAGCGGUGUCCGGAAUUACUGGGCGUAAAGAGCUCGUAGGUGGUUUGUCGCGUUGUCCGUGAAAACUCACAACUCAAUUGUGGGCGUGCGGGCGAUACGGGCAGACUGGAGUACUGCAGGGGAGACUGGAAUUCCUGGUGUAGCGGUGGAAUGCGCAGAUAUCAGGAGGAACACCGGUGGCGAAGGCGGGUCUCUGGGCAGUAACUGACGCUGAGGAGCGAAAGCGUGGGGAGCGAACAGG
rnacentral:rRNA from 1 species